rnacentral:rRNA from 1 species
AUUAGAAUAUUUUAUAAGAAGGUUAAUUUUCAUGAUUUUUAAAWAGAAAAUAUAUCAGAUCAAGGUGUAGCUUAUGUUUAAGUAAAWAUGGGUUACAAUAAAAUUAUUUAUACGAAUAUAAAUUUGAAAAUUUAUUGAAGGUGGAUUUGAUAGUAAAUUAUAAAGAUUAAUAAUUUGAUUUUAGCUCUAAAAUAUGCACACAUCGCCCGUCACUCUUACUACUUAAGGUAAGAUAAGUCGUAACAUAGUAGAUGUACUGGAAAGUGUACCUAGAAUGCAAUUUAAAGCUUAUUUAGUAAAGCAUUUCAUUUACAUUGAAAAGAUUUUUGUGCAAAUCAAUAUAAAUUGAUUAUA